UCUUCGAUGGUCUAGUGGUCAUGAUUUCCGCUUGUCAAACUUCACAGUUAACAAGCGCGGGAGACCGGGGUUCGAUUCCCCGUCGGAGAG
rnacentral:tRNA from 1 species